rnacentral:rRNA from 1 species
UGGGGAAUUUUGGACAAUGGGCGAAAGCCUGAUCCAGCAAUGCCGCGUGUGUGAAGAAGGCCUUCGGGUUGUAAAGCACUUUUGUUCGGGAAGAAAAGGACUUGGCUAAUAUCCAGGUCUGAUGACGGUACCGGAAGAAUAAGCACCGGCUAACUACGUGCCAGCAGCCGCGGUAAUACGUAGGGUGCAAGCGUUAAUCGGAAUUACUGGGCGUAAAGCGUGCGCAGGCGGUUUGUUAAGACAGAUGUGAAAUCCCCGGGCUCAACCUGGGAACUGCAUUUGUGACUGGCAAGCUAGAGUAUGGCAGAGGGGGGUGGAAUUCCGCGUGUAGCAGUGAAAUGCGUAGAUAUGCGGAGGAACACCGAUGGCGAAGGCAGCCCCCUGGGCCAAUACUGACGCUCAUGCACGAAAGCGUGGGGAGCAAACAGGAUUAGAUACCCUGGUAGUCCACGCCCUAAACGAUGUCAACUAGUUGUUGGGGAUUCAUUUCCUUAGUAACGUAGCUAACGCGUGAAGUUGACCGCCUGGGGAGUACGGUCGCAAGA